rnacentral:rRNA from 1 species
UACGUAGGGGGCAAGCGUUGUCCGGAGUUACUGGGCGUAAAGCGCACGCAGGCGGUCUCUUAAGUUUGGAGUGACAGUUGGUGGCUUAACUGCCAAAGUGCUUCGAAAACUGAGAGACUUGAGGGCUUCAGAGGGACACGGAAUUCCGGGUGGAGUGGUGAAAUGCGUAGAGAUCCGGAGGAACACCAAAGGCGAAGGCAGUGUCCUGGGGAGUACCUGACGCUCAGGUGCGAAAGCCAGGGGAGCAAACGGG